CCCUCCACUCCCACCAACUUCUCCUACUUCUUCUUCUCUUUAUCUUUCAACCUUUUACUCAAUGUGAGUUUACAUUCAAAUUCAAUCAAGAAAUAUAUACUCCAAGAAAUCAUUAUCAACAUCUUCAAGUGGCAACAAAUUAAAAUUGAAGGUUUUGUUUGUGGUGGUGGUGAGAGGACCGAAAAUUAGAAGAUAGAAAGAAAGAGAAAGUAGUUUUUAUUCAUAUUUCCAUCUAGUAAAUAAUCCUUACGGUAUGGUGAAAUUGAUUCUUUUUGGAGAAAUUAGGGUUCUUGGAAUUCAAUUGAAUUGGGGGUGUUUGGUUCUAGCAUAAAGAAGAGAAAGAGGGAAAAGAAUUGAGUAUGUAAUUGCAUGUCAUCAUUUAGAUGAUCUCCAUCUCAAGUUAAAGGUUGAAAGCGAUAAUAUGAGUUCAUAUGGUCAUCUUCAAUUCGGUAGUUCGUCAUUAAGGUCCUGGAAAUGGGAACAAGUGAUUGACUAGUAGUGCCUUGAAGUGAAUUUGUGUGUUUUGAAGGUAUUUAGCCAUUUUGCGGAGAAAUGUUGAGUUUUGGUAAAAACCUAGUUGGGAUCUCUCAAACCUAAUGGCUCUUGGUACAUAUGAAGUGUUGUUGGUAAAGUUUUGUUAUGUACAUUUCUGUAAAAAGUUGGGUUAGAGUCAUGCUCUUUUGUAUUUUGAUGUAUUGUUAAACCAUAAUCGAUGUCAACUUGGGUAAUAUGACCCGUUUGGUUGUAAAAUGAACAUUUGAUCAAAUGAACACUUUUGUUAUGUUUA